rnacentral:rRNA from 1 species
UACGUAGGGUGCAAGCGUUGUCCGGAAUUAUUGGGCGUAAAGAGCUCGUAGGCGGUCUGUCGCGUCGGCUGUGAAAUCCCGAGGCUCAACCUCGGGUCUGCAGUCGAUACGGGCAAACUAGAGUAUUGCAGGGAGACUGGAAUUCCUGGUGUAGCGGUGAAAUGCGCAGAUAUCAGGAGGAACACCGGUGGCGAAGGCGGUCUCUGGGCAAUAACUGACGCUGAGGAGCGAAAGCGUGGGGAGCGAACAGG